GCGGCGUGCUUACACAUGCAGUCGAACGGUGAUGGGGAGCUUGCUCUCCGGAUCAGUGGCGAACGGGUGAGUAACACGUGAGCAAUCUGCCCCUGACUCUGGGAUAAGCGCUGGAAACGGCGUCUAAUACUGGAUACGAGCUGCGAUCGCAUGGUCAGCAGUUGGAAAGAAUUUCGGUCAGGGAUGAGCUCGCGGCCUAUCAGCUUGUUGGUGAGGUAAUGGCUCACCAAGGCGUCGACGGGUAGCCGGCCUGAGAGGGUGACCGGCCACACUGGGACUGAGACACGGCCCAGACUCCUACGGGAGGCAGCAGUGGGGAAUAUUGCACAAUGGGCGCAAGCCUGAUGCAGCAACGCCGCGUGAGGGACGACGGCCUUCGGGUUGUAAACCUCUUUUAGCAGGGAAGAAGCGAAAGUGACGGUACCUGCAGAAAAAGCACCGGCUAACUACGUGCCAGCAGCCGCGGUAAU
rnacentral:rRNA from 1 species